rnacentral:lncRNA from 1 species
AAAAAAAGCAAAACUGUAUAAUCAUGUCAAUAGAUGCAAACUAGAGAAGAAAAAAACUAUUAGCAAACUCCGUAUAGAAGGAAGCUUCUUCCUUCACCUGAUAAAAAGUAUUGAUAACCCCACUAUACAUUUUGAGUGGUCUCCAGUCACAACCAACUAUACUUCACUAGUUUUAACUCCUAAGCUUUCCAUAAAUCCUAGAUUCUGUCUGACACUAAAUGAAGAUCUUCAUGUCAUUUUUUCAAAUAGGAAAAAAUAUGUUCUAAAUAUCUCAGAUUUUCUUUACUAUUCUAUUAUGUAUGUAUCAUCUGUGAAUCUAAUUUUCAUAAAAAAUUUGUUCAGUCUAUAUCCCAUCUUAUGGUACUAAUUUCCACUAACUUACUCUCUAAUAUUAUAUAGAUAAUUAAGAUAUUUAUCUUAAACUGACUUUUAUAAAAUUCCUAGAAGCACCCAUACUCUGCCCACAAUUCCAGCAUGAUGGAAUUUGAGUAAUUCAUCCAAGGUCCCAUUUUAGAACCUCAAUUACAUCUUCCUCCUCCACUUCCUCCUUAGUAUUAAAAGCCCCAAGGAAUAAAUAUUUAUUAGUAUACUGUUACGUAGCCAGACACUUCAUUAUUUUUAUUUAACAGAACAUAUAGUAUUUAUCUUGGGUGUGUAUAAGGUAUGAUUUUGAAUAAUGGCAAGAUAACUUACUAUUCCCAUACUCUCAAAAAAUGUCUAGCAUACUGUGGAUCUUCUUAGCACAGUAUCCAUAAUCAUCUAUGAUAGCUUAUAGAUUCUUUUCCUGACUUUAACUAAAUUCAAGACUCCUCAGUUAAUAAUUAUAAUUCAUGUGAUUUUUUCCCCCAAAUAUACCACUGAAAACUAUCUCACAUGAGUUCACUCAGUUUUUUGCUCACUCAUUAUCUGCAGUUAGGUUUUUUUCCUGGGAUAUUUCACUAUCCAAAAGAGCUAAAAAUUGACUACAUACACCUUCUUUUACACCAUUUAUUAAAAUGUGAAAUUAAAUUGGCCCCAACUUGGGGACCCACAUAAUACACUUUUUCCUCUAAAGAGUGACAGUUCACAACUGAUGUUUACUUACUAAAUCAAUGUGAUUCCAUGAAUAAACAUUUCUCCUCCAUCCUAUGGUAACACAAAAGAUUUUAUUCCUUUCAGAUUAGAACCUUGAAAGAUUUUGUAAAGUUUACAUAAAUUAUUUUCACUGUUUCUCUUCAACAUACUCCAUAAUCCCCUAAAUAACUCCAGUAUACCAAUCAUUCAGGUUUUUGGUUUACAAAACCAAAUUCAAUAAUUUGUUUUAUUCUAAACUCCUGAGUGUUAAAAAUAUAGCAAGACAAGCUGACCCAUAGUUAUCUGUAAGUCCUCUACAAACGUUCUUAUAAUGGGACAUCGUCUUAGUCCAUUUUGUGUUGCUAUAACAAAAUACCACAGACUCAGUAAUUUAUAAAGCAAUUUGUUUUUCACAGUUCUGGAAGCAGGGAAGUCCAAUAUCAAGAUGCUUGGCAACUGAUGAUGGCCUCUGUGCCAUGGCAGCAGGUGGAAGGACAAGAGAGCAUGAGAGAGCAAGAGACAGCUAAACUCACUUUUACUCCUUAACAGAGAUUUAUACCCUCCUGUGCUGGCCUGCAAAAGGACAAAUUCUUCUAAUAAACACUGAGGAGGUGGACUGCAUUUCCAGAUACAGUGAAAAGACUACCAACAGAGUAAUAGUUACACCAAUAACAUAUAUAAAUAGGACUGCUGAGAGUAUAACAUAGAUUUUGGAGUUACUGCACAGAGGGACCAAUAAUCACAGUACUCCAGCUUUUAGUAAAAACCAGUUCACAGGUCCAAACAGUUUCAAUUUAAAUGUUUGAUCAUCAGUUUCCGUGUAUUAAGUAGAACUAUUCAAAGUGUUUGAAAAUUAUCUUAGUAAAAUAAUUACAUAUCCAAGUGCUAAGGAUUUUUAAAGCUAUUUCUUCAGAAAGAAUCAAAGUGAAAACCACCACAAAGACCCUACUAAAAUAAAAAUAACAGAUAACACUUCUCCAAGCCAUACCAUGAUUUCAAGAUACUAUUAAUCAAAAUCAACAUUUCUAUGACUCAGUAUUCUCAACUAUAAAUGACAACCUUUUACAAAUUAUUUCUAGCCCUAAAAUUCUAUGACUUAAUUCUGUGUCUUUUUUAGGGUUUCAAUAUGUGUAAAAUACUGUUACAUAGAAGUAGACACUGUAGGAAUGAAUUCAACAUAGACUCAGAAGUAUAAGAUGCAGGCCUCUGCUCUCAGUAAAUUUCCAAAUGAAGACUAGGAAAUGAGAGAAAUAACUUAAGAGUUUAGAAAUCUUAGAAGACAAUGCAAAGUAUAACAGCUUUUAUACUCAAAGCUGCAACAAUUUCAAAACCUGACAUACAAGUGUGCUGGCUUGGUCUGGAAAGUUAAAUGUGGCUUAUUCUUCUAUGCUGUAAAGCAUAUAUAGGACGUGGACAGAAAGAAAGACAAAGAGAGUGUCACAAGUGCUGGCUAGAGACAUCUGGCUGAAGUGCAAGGCCGCAUAGGGAAAUACUUGGAGAUGGGGCUGUAAAAUACACUAGGCUGGGACUUUAACCAAGAGGCAAUUUAUAAGACAUGGAAAAGUUGAGGGAGGAAUGAAAGCAGAGUUUUAGAAAACUUAAUCUCAAAGGGGAGUAAUGGAUGGAUUAUAGAUAAAAGACCAAAAAAGCAAAAUGGUGCACAAUUAAAUGAGGCAGAGAAAUACAGCCAUUAUUUAGUUUUUCAAGUCAAAAUCUGCUACUGAGACCAAAGUAACUCGUUAUCUAUAUCAAUGAAAUUCACCAACUCUUCACUUUAUUUUUCUUAUAAAACAGCUUAAGUAUAGUUUAGACUGUUUAUUAAAACCUUUCACUGUAUUUCUUAAGUGUCACAUAACAAACUGUAUUUAUAUAAAAAUUCACUUUAAUUUAGAAAAUAAGGACAGUAUUAUUGGUCCUAAGCCUUUCAAAAGGAAAUUAAUGCUGCUGCACAGUUUCAUUAAUUCUGUUGGGCCGUAAGGGUGCCCUUUGGGUACUGACAGAAAUCAUUUAUUGGUCAAUGUAACCCCUCCCAAAACUGCACAACUUAUUCUGUCACUCCCUGUGGGAAAGUCUGGCUGCUUAUGUACUCUGUAAAUCUAUUCUACAAAAACAAAAGUAGCAUCUCUGAUAUAAUGGCUACUAAAAUAUUAAGAGUUAUUAAAUGUUUUCCAAAAAUAACAGUAAAGUCUCAAAAAAAAGGAAAAAAAAGGGAUAAUUCCAUUUCUGUCCCAUUAACUACUUCAUUAUACAUUUACCCAUUUCUUUAGAGUUAACAGUAUGCCUAAAAUAAUAAACUUGAGCAACAUUUUAAAUGCUAUGUGAUUUUCUAUCCAUUAUCAAAAUGAAUAGACUUCACUUGAAACUCAGUUCAUUUUACACACUGACGUAGUCUAAAAAAUUCCACACAAAUUCAAUUUUGGUAACUCAAAUAGUUUAAACAUACGAAACAUUUGGAAGAUGUCCAUUUAAGGAAGGCUGUAGUACAAUUGGUUCUUUUAUAAAAUUGAGAGACACCAAUGUAAAGUGAAUAAAUAUCCCUGAUUAAUCUGGC